CCCCGACCUGUUCGAUCCCCAAUCUCGCCCCUCUCUCCGUCUUUCGCCACCCACACACCCUAACCCUAACCCGACCGCGCCGCCGCCCCCGACCUGCGCGCCGCCGCCCCAACCCGCCCGCCGGUCCCCUCGCACCACCAAAUCUCGGAUCCCGGCCUCCCUUCCCUUAGUCCGCAGUAGCAGCAGCGCCGUUUGCCAUGGAGGAGCACCGUCUGCCACCGAGGAACAGCAGCGCUGUCCGCCCGCAAGGAUCCGCCGCGCGCCGGGAACAGCGGCACCAUACGCCGGUGGAUCCGCCGCAACAACUGCUGUUGAGGAGCAGCCCGCCGUUCUUCUUCCUCCACUGGCGACCCUUGUCCCGGCCCCGCCUCCAGAUCUCAUCUCAACUAUCGGGCGGUUCCAGGUCUAGGUCAUGGCAUUAGUGGUGUGGUGCUGUUAAUGUUUUCUCAAUGGAUAGCAGUCGCUCGAUGGAUGGGAAUUGCUACUCUUGAACAUCUCAAUGAUGAACCCUUUUUGCACAUGACAUUUCUGAAUAUCUCCUCACGGCAGCAGGUGAUUUUCUCAUGUAUGUUUGCACAGGAGCUUGUUAUUGCUUCCAUACUGGUUUUGUUCAGUUGGUCAAAUUGGUGUUGCUCCCUCUGCAGUCCAUAACAAUACCCCUGGAGAUGCGUGGAGUAGGCUAUGUCAUCCUCUGACCACAACCAUUGGCUGCUACUGAUGACACAAGGGCUCAUUAAUAGCAUGGUUCUGCUCAUUGAAACAGGAGAGGCGCUGAACAAGACAGAGAAAGCACAAAUGGCCAUGUACACUUGAUUAAAGAUUGAUGAACCUGAGAGCAGGAAAGGUGCUGAACAAGACUGAAAAACACAAAUGGCCAAGUACACUUGAUUGAAGAUUGAUGAAUCUGAGAGCAGAUAAAAACUGAGACCAAAGGCACUGAAACUUGAGUAAUAGUUCCAGUAAGCUCACAGUACUACUUCCACAACUGUGAAUGACAAAUUUUAAAGGCACUGAAACUUGAGUAAUAGUUCCAGUAAGCUCACAGUCAAAUUUUAAAUGCUUUGAACUUUGUCUAGAUGAAUUGAGAGCAUGUAGCAAUUAAAUGGAUUAUAGAUGAAUUGGGAGCACGUUGUAAAUAGUACCCAUGAUUUCAUUUUAAGUUUUCAUACAUUUAUCCGAGCAAUUACUCAUAGAAGACAUAUGGUCUUUGAAUGGCUUUGUUUUCAUCAAGUGUCCUUCCUGCUACUACAUAUAUGAUUGCUGGUACAUUUUUUUAGAAAAUAGGCAUCUGCCCGGCCUUAGACUGAGGCCCUUACAGGUUCACCGAAGUUCAUACAAGGUAAUAUAUGACUGCUGGCACAUGCAUAUUUACAAGUGCAUAUCUGAUUGCUUGCUGAUUGAGGAACUUCAAAUGCAAUUUUCAGUGUAAGCCAUGUGGUAUGCCAUAUGUGCUAGCCUGACUUUGGUUGAUGUGGUGAUAAUUGAUAAGGGUAUAUAUCUUUUGUAACCUGUUUGCAGCGCAUGUACUUUUAGAUCUUUGGGAUCAAGGGCCACUUGCAAAAUUUAAGAAAUCCCAUUUUCUAAGAUUGCUCAAACAUACGAGUUCUUUUGCAGGGACAAAUGGCAAAAUGUAGCAAGACACCAAGUUGAUGUAUGAUGUUCUGGUGAUUGCUUUGUUCAUAACAUGGUUGACACAUUUUGUUCAUAUGGAAGUUCAUGUCGGCUUGGUCACUAAAGACUUGGGCUCUUCCAUAAUAUUUUGUACAGUAGUCAAGUGGUUGAACAAUUGGUCUGAUAGGAACUUGGCCAUCACAUUUUGUAGCAGACCGCGGCUUGAAUGCCAGCUUAUGUAUGUCCUUAAUCCACUGUAGCUAACUUGAGUAAAGAAGACUAAUGAAUCUUCUAUAUAUGUUGAAUGGUAUCUUGUGCAUUGAUCAA